UCCGAAUGAAGGAAGCUCAUAAUUUAGCCCGCAAAGACAUCAACAGCAGCAGUGACCAAAUGAAGACAAGAAACGACGAUAGGGUCGAUGCCUCGAGGUUCCGUAAGAACGACUUGGUCUGGCUAUACAACCCCCGGAGAAGAAACGGAAGGUCCUAUAAGCAUCAAAGAGAUUGGGAAGGCCCUUACCAUGUAGUUAAAAGGAUCACAGAUGACGUUUGCCGGAUACAAGGAGGCCACCGGUCCAAGCGGAAGGUCGUCCACAUCAAUCGACUCCAUCCGUACUAUGGUGAAGCUGGAUCUGCCCGGGACGGACAGAUCUAAGGAGGGGGCAGUGUUAUAAACCUGGUGGUGGCACAGAUGGGGGUAGUGGUGUGUGUGUAGUCAGCCGACGCAAAUCGCCCCAGGCCAGCGCUAGACGAGCGGUCAACCGUGACGAGUUACGACGAUCGGCCGAGACGAGGGUCAACAAGAGAGUUCGGGAAGGAUCGCCGACGUGAACAGAGCUCAGGGGCGUCACGAGAGUUGUAGUCAUCUGACCACCUAGAAACGUCGAGCGGCGUUCUGUCCGGUUCGAGAAGGCCAGUAGGGACCCUAUAUAAGAGCGGAGGCGACGCAGUCAAGACGGUUCAGAAAGCGGGUUCACGACAGGAGUUCAGAACACGGUCGACUACAG